rnacentral:tRNA from 1 species
GGGGUCGUGGGGUAGUCAGGCCAUCCUCGCAGGCUCCAGACCUGCUGACCCGAGUUCAAAUCUCGGCGACCCCA